CGCGUAGGUGGCCACUAUAAGGCCGCGGUGAAAGUUCGGGGCUCAACCCUGAAUCGGCCGCGGCGACUGUAGGGCUUGGGCACUGUAGAGGCAGAUGGAAUUCCGGGUGUAGCGGUGGAAUGCGUAGAGAUCCGGAAGAACACCGGUGGCGAAGGCGGUCUGCUGGGCAGUGGCUCGCAAGGGCCAAUAGCCGACACUGAGGCGCGACAGCGUGGGGAGCAAACA
rnacentral:rRNA from 1 species